rnacentral:rRNA from 1 species
GAUGAACGCUAGCGACAGGCCUAACACAUGCAAGUCGAGGGGCAGCACAAAGUAGCAAUACUUGGUGGCGACCGGCGCACGGGUGAGUAACACGUAUGCAACCUACCUGUAAGCGGGGAAUAACCCGGAGAAAUUCGGACUAACACCGCAUAAUACUGAAUUACUGCAUGGUUUUUCAGUUAAAUAUUUAUAGCUUACAGAUGGGCAUGCGUAUGAUUAGAUAGUUGGUAGGGUAACGGCCUACCAAGUCAACGAUCAUUAGGGGUUCUGAGAGGAAGGUCCCCCACACUGGUACUGAGACACGGACCAGACUCCUACGGGAGGCAGCAGUGAGGAAUAUUGGUCAAUGGGCGAGAGCCUGAACCAGCCAAGUCGCGUGAAGGAAGAAGGUUCUAUGGAUUGUAAACUUCUUUUGUAAGGGAAUAAAAAGGUAACGUGUACUCUAUUGUAUGUACUUUACGAAUAAGGAUCGGCUAACUCCGUG